GAAAGAUGAAAAGAACUUUGAAAAGAGAGUUAAACAGUACGUGAAAUUGUUGAAAGGGAAACGAUUGAAGUCAGUCGUACCAGCGGGAAAUCAACCUUUCGAGUGGGUUUUUGGAGUUUUGAAGUGUGGCAAAACCUUCGAGAUUUCAAAAUUUUCGCUCUUUUGGUGUACUUUCUCGUAGGUAGGUUAACAUCGAUUUUGAUCAUCAUAAAAGGGUUGGAGGAAUGUAGCUUCGAUCUCGUAUUGAAGUGUUAUA
rnacentral:rRNA from 1 species